CAACUGACAACAAGAGAGGAGGAA
rnacentral:piRNA from 1 species